AGCGAACGCUGGCGGCAGGCUUAACACAUGCAAGUCGAACGCACCCUUCGGGGUGAGUGGCACACGGGUGAGUAACGCGUGGGCACGUUCCCUCCAGUUUGGGAUAACCCAGGGAAACUUGGCCUAAUACCGGAUACCUGCGAGAGCAGAAAGAUUUAUCGCUGAAGGAUCGGCCCGCGUCUGAUUAGGUAGGUGGUGGGGUAAUGGCCCACCACGGCGACAGUCAGUAGCUGGUCUGAGAGGAUGAUCAGGCACAUUGGGAGUGAGACACGGCCCAAACUCCUACGGGAGGCAGCAGCGGGGAAUAUUGGACAAUGGGCGCAAGCCUGAUACAGCCAUGCCGCGUGAGUGAUGAAGGCCUUAGGGUUGUAAAGCUCUUUCGUCCGGGACGAUAAUGACGGUACCGGAAGAAGAAGCCCCGGCUAACUUCGUGCCAGCCGCCGCAGUAA
rnacentral:rRNA from 1 species